CCUACGGGUGGCAGCAGUCGAGAAUCAUUCACAAUGGGGGAAACCCUGAUGGUGCGACGCCGCGUGGGGGAAUGAAGGUCUUCGGAUUGUAAACCCCUGUCAUGUGGGAGCAAAUUAAAAAGAUAGUACCACAAGAGGAAGAGACGGCUAACUCUGUGCCAGCAGCCGCGGUAAUACAGAGGUCUCAAGCGUUGUUCGGAAGCACUGGGCGUAAAGCGUGCGUAGGCUGUUUAGUAAGUCGUGUGUGAAAGGCGCGGGCUCAACCCGCGGACGGCACAUGAUACUGCGGGGCUAGAGUAGUGGAGGGGGGACCGGAAUUCUCGGUGUAGCAGUGAAAUGCGUAGAUAUCGAGAGGAACACUCGUGGCGAAGGCGGGUUCCUGGACAUUAACUGACGCUGAGGCACGAAGGCCAGGGGAGCGAAAGGGAUUAGAUACCCUUGUAGUC
rnacentral:rRNA from 1 species